CGUCGACUGAACCGAAAGACGACAAACUAACAGAGAGUGGAAUCACAUAAAGAUUUUAUUAUUUCUCCACAGUAUAUUGAAAAAUCCCAUAUCUCCAGGCCAUCGCUGAAAUCGGUCGAGCACCCGCUUUUCAGAGGAUUCUAUUAUCACUGCCGGCCCAGGGAGAGAAACGUACCCCCUACUCAGUUAGAAGGUGUUUAGUAGAAAGGUAUUUUUUCUAUGUUCCAAUGCGGAACUUAAACUUCCAUUUCCAUGGACCUCGGAGUCUAGUCGUUGCUUACAGGACAGUUACAAGGUGUGCAAUUCAAGAGAAUGACACAUACAGUUCUGAAUAUUUCAAUGAAAUACUUGAUAAGUCAGAUUGCCAAAUAAUGGAGUUUCGUUUCAAUUCUACCAUCUCAAAUAAUCUACAACGGUAAAAUAAAACAAUGUAAAAUGAAACGCCCUCAACUAGCGGUAAACCUUAAUAUGUCUGCUCA